rnacentral:tRNA from 3 species
GGUGGUGUGGUGUAAUGGUAGCACGUGACGUUGUGGUCAUCACAGCUAACCCGUUUCAAUCUGGGUUCGAUUCCCAGCACCGCCA